rnacentral:tRNA from 2 species
GGGCGCGUAGCAUAGCCUGGAUAAUGCACCGGCCUCCUAAGCCGGGGACCGCGGGUUCGAAUCCUGCCGCGCCCGCCA